AACGAACGCUGGCGGCGUGGAUAAGACAUGCAAGUCGAGCGAUUAUCACAGGGUAGCAAUAUUCUGUGGUGAGAGCGGCGCAAGGGUGCGUAACACGUGGGUAAUCUGCCAUGAAGUCUGGAAUAAUCCCGCGAAAGCGGGACUAAUACCGGAUGUGAACCUGGGAAGGCAUCUUCCUGAGUUUGAAGUUGGGGACCGAAAGGCCUGACGCUUCUUGAUGAGCCCGCGGCCUAUCAGCUAGUUGGUGAGGUAACGGCUCACCAAGGCUAAGACGGGUAGCUGGUCUGAGAGGACGACCAGCCACACUGGAACUGAGACACGGUCCAGACACCUACGGGUGCUG
rnacentral:rRNA from 1 species